rnacentral:misc_RNA from 1 species
CUAAGGAAAAAUACGGAAGGUCGACACAUCGUUUGCGCUUUGUUCAGUUUUGAGAGGUUUACUCUCAAAAUUUGGUUCUUUGAAAACUGGAUAGAAAAACAACAAUCAACACCAACCGAGAAUCCGCGUUGAACACGUUUUUUAACGAAGUUUACGCACAUGUUCGAAGGGCUUUGAUCGCUCAAAGCAAGAACCUUCGAGAAACCCUUGACCGCAAGGUCA